GAUGAACGCUGGCGGCGUGCCUAAUACAUGCCAGUCGAGCGAACAGACGAGGAGCUUGCUCCUCUGACGUUAGCGGCGGACGGGUGAGUAACACGUGGAUAACCUACCUAUAAGACUGGGAUAACUUCGGGAAACCGGAGCUAAUACCGGAUAAUAUAUUGAACCGCAUGGUUCAAUAGUGAAAGACGGUUUUGCUGUCACUUAUAGAUGGAUCCGCGCCGCAUUAGCUAGUUGGUAAGGUAACGGCUUACCAAGGCAACGAUGCGUAGCCGACCUGAGAGGGUGAUCGGCCACACUGGAACUGAGACACGGUCCAGACUCCUACGGGAGGCAGCAGUAGGGAAUCUUCCGCAAUGGGCGAAAGCCUGACGGAGCAACGCCGCGGGAGUGAUGAAGGUCUUCGGAUCGUAAAACUCUGUUAUUAGGGAAGAACAAAUGUGUAAGUAACGAUGCACGUCUUGACGGUACCUAAUCAGAAAGCCACGGCUAACUACGU
rnacentral:rRNA from 1 species